rnacentral:rRNA from 1 species
AGUACGUUUGUACUCCUGGCUCAGGACGAACGCUGGCGGCGUGCUUAACACAUGCAAGUCGAACGAUGAAGCCUAGCUUGCUAGGUGGAUUAGUGGCGAACGGUGAGUAAUACGUGAGUAACCUACCUUUAACUCUGGGAUAAGCCUGGGAAACUGGGUCUAAUACCGGAUACGACCAAUCUCCGCAUGGGGUGUUGGUGGAAAGCGUUAUGUGGUGGUUAUAGAUGGGCUCACGGCCUAUCAGCUUGUUGGUGAGGUAACGGCUCACCAAGGCGACGACGGGUAGCCGGCCUGAGAGGGUGACCGGCCACACUGGGGCUGAGACACGGCCCAGACUCCUACGGGAGGCAGCAGUGGGGAAUAUUGCACAAUGGGCGCAAGCCUGAUGCAGCGACGCCGCGUGAGGGAUGACGGCCUUCGGGUUGUAAACCUCUGUUAGCAGGGAAGAAGAGAGAUUGACGGUACCUGCAGAGAAAGCGCCGGCUAACUACGUG